rnacentral:rRNA from 1 species
CAAUAGCGUAUAUUAAAGUUGUUGCGGUAAAAAAGCUCGUAGUUGGAUUUCUACCGAAGAUAGCCGGUCGGGUCUUCGACCUUGUAUCUGGUUUUGUAUUUGGUAUCCUCAUAGGGAACGUUUCUGCGCUUUAUUGCGUGGUGCGGUAUCUAUGACUUUUACUUUGAGGAAAUUAGAGUGUUCACGGCAGGCAAACGCCUUGAAUAUAUUAGCAUGGAAUAAUAACAUAGGAUCUUCGUCCUAUUUUGUUGGUUUCUAGGGCUAAGAUAAUGAUUAAUAGGGAUAAUUGGGGGCAUCUGUAUCAACGCGUCAGAGGUGGAAUUCUUGGAUUGCGUUGCGACAAACUACUGCGAAAGCAUUUGCCAAGGAUGUUUUCAUUGA